rnacentral:lncRNA from 1 species
UAUUCUUAGAAGUGCAUUGACCAUUAGUGGCAGGAUGCCAUCUUAAAAUGUCGUCAGAGUCACUCUGAAUAAUUUGGGUGGAGGUGACAGAGUUGGUGAAUUCGGUAGAAAAGGUAUUAGCAAUAAGAUGGUGGUUCCAGUCAUGAGUACCUUGAAUCCAUAGUUCUAAAACCUUUGCUGGAAACGGAUUGGUAGUGACCAGAAUGUUGAGGUGGUCAUGGAUGUGAUUUCAGAGGGGGGGGUCCAAGGUUCUGACCAGAUGGGAGUGUUGCCACCAUGAAUCUGGACAAUGCAGUUGGCAGAGAGUUCAUCUUUAACCUGCAAAACAGAUGACCAGAAGAUGGAUCUAGUACCUUUGGUGUUAGCUUUCCAGAAGGAGGUGUUGUGAUAGUAUUUAGCCUUUAAGAUCUGCGUGAGAAAGGAAUUCUUAUUAUUAGCAAUAUUCCACGCUGAUUGUUGUUGAUAUUUGGGAACGCGAUAAGGAAUUGAUCCGCAAGCGCACGGAUAUCGGUGAGCACUUCACCCGGGAGGUUAUCCACAAUAUCAUAUUUAUUUUUUACCACUAGGAGAAAGAUGCAUCUGACUAACCCGGUCUAUUACUACUAACCCUUUAAGCUACAAAGAAUGUUUCUCGAUGUGAGUGAUAAAUAGAGAAGACUGCAACCGUAGUCUCUUUCUAACCUUGGUAAGGAUGAUCUACUGUUCUAUCGGGGAGACUAACGGAAUCUAGACACCACAGAGGAUGUUCGACCCGCACAUAUAAACCCUAUCCUUCCUGCUAACGAGAUAUGGUCUUCAAAGGUAACUCGGAAAUGUCACGUUCCUCGCUACUACCACGGUCUAGCUAGUCAGGGAAUAUCUAUGAGUAUCCUAGCUCAAACAUCACGUCUACGCUAGAGAUGAUUACUCUAAACUCUACGCGAAGAGAUUAAAGUAAACUCAUAAACCAAAAGAACAAUAAAACAAGAACUUACUAGAAUUUAGAAGUCGAAAUACUCGGAGUAGGAGAACUUGAUCCCGCAGGUACAAACUCGGAGUAGGCACCGACAGGCCGGGCUUCCUCCAAUCUACACCUCCACUCUAUCUCUCUCAAUCUAGUAGAAACUAGAAGAUCUAUUUCUACUCACAUUGGUUGCUAAUCCUAAAAAGAAAUUUUAUUUAGAGGAGAGGUAUUCCUUCGAGGGCUCCUCUCAACUCUAUGAUGAACUUGUCUCCUCCAGGGGCCAGGGGGUCUGGUUUUAUAGUCCCCUCAAGUGAACGUGAGCCGUUGGAUCAAACCGACAUUGAUUGGACGGUUAUCCUUGAUCCUUUAGGUCGGUGGAGAUUAGUCCCAAAAGAGAGUCUUGAUCCAACUCUGCAGGGGGGCGGGCGCCCAGGUCAACUGGGCGGGCGCCCAGUGCCUGGCCCCGUUCGGCCUCCGCUUCCUUCCCGUGGCUUCUGGAGUCUUCUAGAUAGUAGAAAAUUGCGUGGUGCGUUGAUAUCUCUAUGUAAUCCCGACAUGUGGGUCUUUCUUCCUUAUUUCCUGAUAACCCCCUGCAGAAAUAGAUAAACAACAAAACUCGUGGAAUUCUGUUAGAUCAAACCCUAAUUCUAGGUGUUGUUUUCAUAUUGGUCCUUUCUCUUGUUUAUUUGAUAAUUAAAAUUGAUACUUAAGGACCGUCAACAAAUACCCCCAUACUUAGGCUUUUACUCGUCCUGAGAAAAGGAUGGUUAAGAACAAUAUCUGUGGUAAAACAUUUUAAAACAUUCUCUUCAUACCUGCAGGGUGUUGUAAAAAUCCACUGUAUACUGUAGUCAGGGAAAUCUAUGGUUAGGAGUAAAGAUCCUUUCUUCCUAUCAAUCCUGUCACUUGGAGUUUUUGUAUACUUUUGAAAAGAAAGUUAGCAUACCUUUUCUCCUCAUAGGUUCUCUCAGAUCACUCAUUAUCUUUUAUAUAUCUCACUAAGGCUGUUUUAAUUUGCAAAAGUUCUCAAGCAUACUUACAUUGCAUUUAUUGCGUGAUCAAAAUGGGAUCCGAGGAGGGAAUGUCAUACUCUUAGAUCAAAGACUUUGAAAAUUAAAAACUUGUCAACUCUUGUUGGCAUAUUGCUUAUUAAAGGGACCAUGGGCUAUCAUUUUUUUCUUUUCUUUUUUUUUUAAGUGGAUACCGAGGUACCCCUAAUUCUACUGCUGGACACUUGUCCAUUUUUUUUCUAUGAGGUUAUCGAGCACUUGCUCCUUUUUAUUUCCUCAUAAUAUCUUUAUUUUUGCAUAGCCCAUGCCUCUAAUGCAAUAUUACUUCGGAAGAGUGAAUCUUUCUGAAUAAAUGUCUUGAUCUUAGGAGCAUGAUAAAUCUCUCAACAAGGGUCUAACUCAUUUUGAACAAACUCAAUACAGAGUAGAUAGCUUUUAUAAUCAUAAUUAGUAUUUUCAGUUUUAUCAGGCAUAUAAAACACUGAGGAUGGUAGCUAGAACUUUAAAGAUUUUGAAAUAAAUUCUCCAAGCAACAAUGAUAUCAAGAAUAAGAAACUCAUACUCUUUCAUUCCACAAUGACUUAAGUAACACAGGGUUUUAAAAUGUUUUUCAACAAAUUUGUAGUUUCCAGGAAAUAUCAGAGAGUGAGAUUAAUCGUGAUUAGAAACAUUUUAAUCUUUUUAGUUUAUCAUGUCGGGAACAAUAUUCUGCAUAAUCCAAGAUAUGUGUAUGUGUAAAGUAAAGUGUGAAGAGUAUGUUACCUGAAUCGUAGAGUGGUGUAGUCAAGUGUGUUUGGCAUGUCGAGGGAUCUCCCCCAUACUUGUUUUCUGCUUUCUUGCACAAAAAUAAAGUAGAGACACACAAAACAUAAUAAUAAUAAUAAUAAUAAUAAUAAUAAUAAUAAUAAUAAUAAUAAUAAUAAUAAUAAUAAUAAUACUCUUUAUUAAUCUUGAGGCAUUUAUUACAAAUGACUAGUAGCAAACUGACGAUAAUAGUAAACCUAAACCGAAUUUAAAGAUGGAUAACUAGGAUGCAUUGCCUCAAGGUCUAAUCUAGAUAACUUAGCGGCGCUCUAAUUCCCUGAUCUUCUUAUUGGCACUAGCAAGAUCCUGCCUAAGGCUUAGUAUAACGGUGUUGUGGUUAGAGAGCUGCCUAGUAAUGGAAUUAACUGAGGACUGGAGGUCUAUGAUGACUCUGUCUAGCCUGCGAACGUCAUCAUCAAUAUCUACUAUAGUCUUGCGACGCUUUGGAGGUGUCUCAAAAGCAUUGAGAGCGUGCUUUGGGGCUGCCUUUGGAGGGAUGAAACGGACUUUGGC